AGCGAACGCUGGCGGCAUGCUUAACACAUGCAAGUUGCACGGACUUUUCGGAGUUAGUGGCGGACGGGUGAGUAACGCGUAGGAACCUGACCAUGGGUGGGGGAUAACACUGGGAAACUGGUGCUAAUACCGCAUGAUACCUGAGGGUUAAAGGCUUUUGUUGCCUGUGGAGGGGCCUGCGUUUGAUUAGCUAGUUGGUUGGGUAAAGGCUGACCAAGGCGAUGAUCGAUAGCUGGUUUGAGAGGAUGAUCAGCCACACUGGGACUGAGACACGGCCCAGACUCCUACGGGAGGCAGCAGUGGGGAAUAUUGGACAAUGGGGGCAACCCUGAUCCAGCAAUGCCGCGUGUGUGAAGAAGGUUUUCGGAUUGUAAAGCACUUUCGUUGGGGAAGAUGAUGACGGUACCCAAAGAAGAAGCCCCGGCUAACUUCGUGCCAGCAGCCGCGGUAAUACGAAGGGGGCAAGCGUUGCUCGGAAUGACUGGGCGUAAAGGGCGUGUAGGCGGUUUAUACAGUUAGAUGUGAAAUCCUUGGGCUUAACCUGAGAACUGCAUUUAAGACGUAUAGACUAGAGUUCGAGAGAGGAUUGUGGAAUUCCCAGUGUAGAGGUGAAAUUCGUAGAUAUUGGGAAGAACACCGGUUGCGAAGGCGGCAAUCUGGCUCGAUACUGACGCUGAGGCGCGAAAGCGUGGGGAGCGAACAGGAUUAGAUACCCUGGUAGUCCACGCUGUAAACGAUGUGUGCUGGGUGUUGGGGGACUUAGUCUUUCAGUGCCGGAGC
rnacentral:rRNA from 1 species